UACGGAGGGUGCAAGCGUUAUCCGGAUUCACUGGGUUUAAAGGGUGCGUAGGCGGUCAGCGAAGUCAGUGGUGAAAGCUUCCGGCUCGACCGGGAAACCGCCAUUGAAACUUUCUGACUUGAAUGCAGAUGAAGUGAGUGGAAUAUAUCAUGUAGCGGUGAAAUGCGUAGAGAUGUGGAGGAACACCAAUGGCGAAGGCAGCCUUCUGGGCCAACACUGACGCUCAUGCACGAAAGCGUGGGGAGCAAACAGG
rnacentral:rRNA from 1 species